rnacentral:rRNA from 1 species
UACGUAGGGGGCAAGCGUUGUCCGGAAUUAUUGGGCGUAAAGAGCGUGUAGGCGGCCAGAUAAGUCCGCUGUGAAAUCUCGAGGCUCAACUUCGAGCUGUCGGUGGAAACUAUCUGGCUAGAGUCCGGAAGAGGAGAAUGGAAUUCCUGGUGUAGCGGUGAAAUGCGCAGAUAUCAGGAAGAACACCCGUGGCGAAGGCGGUUCUCUGGGACGGUACUGACGCUGAGACGCGAAAGCGUGGGAGCGAACAGG